rnacentral:rRNA from 1 species
UACGAAGGUGGCUAGCGUUGUUCGGAAUCACAGGGCGUAAAGCGCACGCAGGCGGAUCGAUAAGUCGGGGGUGAAAGCCCGGGGCUAAACCUCGGAAUUGCCUUCGAUACUGUCGGUCUCGAGUCCGGGAGAGGUGAGUGGAAUGCAUAGUGUAGAGGUGAAAUUCGUAGAUAUUAGGAAGAACGCCAGUGGCGAAGGCGGCUCACUGGCCCGGUACUGACGCUCAGGUGCGAAAGCGUGGGGAGCAAACAGG